UAUUAGAUCUGUCUUGCUUAAAGUGUAUGUAUAUUAUAAUAUUUUAAGAAAACAGGAAAGCAUUAAAAAAAAAACGUUCUUUAAAGGUCUAUUAGAAUGCAAAAAUCACUUUUAUAAGGUGAUUGAACACAGUUGUGUGGCUGCAGUGUGUGAAAACAACCAGCCUAUAAUGGUAAAAAUCCACUCACUCAUUAUUUUAUAAUCCUAAAAAAUCAUGAACAGUCUCUCCACAUGAGCAGUUCCAGACUAUGAUGUCAUACUCUGUGAAAGUCAUUUGUGAUGCUCUCUGCCCUAUUAGCAUAUACACAGGCCUGAGUGAGAAGCAGCAGUCCGCCAUUCCUGUUUUCUUGCUGUAGCUGCUGGAGGUACAAUGUCAGCGCCAAAGAGCCAUUAAAAGUGUCGUGUGUUGGGAUGCACCAAUGAACAUAGGAGUCUCCAUAGACCACUGAGGACACGGUGGUUACAUUUAAUUUUCGAAAGAAAUGUCCCAGAAAAAAAAAAAAAACAAAAAAAACAGAAAAGUCCUAUACGUUUUGUGUUAACAUUUUACACCGGACUGCCACACAAACGAGGGUCAGUUCAGCGCUGGAGUUGUGCAAAGAUUCCUUCUGAAAGAGGGAUCGAUACCAACGCUUUGUGCGCAAACGUCCAAAAUCCAGACAAAAGCCAGAGCCCCUUUAAUGUAUGAGAUCACCGCUCUGAUAUGUGGAGAAACAAUUAGCUGUGAUCCGCUCCAGUCUCCAUUUAGUAAUGGGCAUGUAGAUUUGAUUGGCAGAGUAAAAGCAGGAAUAAUGUGUUCAGAGAGGAAAUGAGUAAACAUGAGAGGACGGUGACAGGGGGAAGACAAGGAGGUGGAGACGAACUGUCUGGGCAAAUGGAGUCACGCUGUGAUGACGGUUUUUAUAAACGGUUUGCCAUUAGAGUGUAACAUCUUGAUUAUUGUUUUUUUUCUUUCAUCAGGUUUAGCUCAUAAUGCAAGUUUAGUUGAGUUUAUUUACACAUGCUGAAGCUCAGCGUUGGUCACUGAACCUUGCAGCUCAGGACAAUGCUUCUUGCACCAACUGUGAUUUAAAUUUCACGAACCAUUUCUCAUACAACAAGCUGACCUUUCACUACAGCAUUUAUGACAUUUACUUGAUGUACAAUCAUAGAUUUUAUUGUACAUUGUUCUCUGGUUCAUCAUCAGUGGCCUGUGUAGAAAAUC
ensembl:lncRNA